GAUGAACGCUAGCUACAGGCUUAACACAUGCAAGUCGCGGGGCAGCAUGGGGGUUGCUUGCAAUCCCCGAUGGCGACCGGCGCACGGGUGAGUAACGCGUAUCCAACCUGCCCUUCACCACGGGAUAACCCGGCGAAAGUCGGACUAAUACCGUAUGUUGUCCAUUGACGGCAUCCGAUUCGGACGAAAGGUUUGGCGGUGAAGGAUGGGGAUGCGUCCGAUUAGCUGGACGGCGGGGUGACGGCCCACCGUGGCGACGAUCGGUAGGGGUUCUGAGAGGAAGGUCCCCCACACUGGAACUGAGACACGGUCCAGACUCCUACGGGAGGCAGCAGUGAGGAAUAUUGGUCAAUGGGCGUAAGCCUGAACCAGCCAAGUAGCGUGCAGGAUGACGGCCCUAUGGGUUGUAAACUGCUUUUAUGCGGGGAUAAAGUGGCCCACGUGUGGGUUUUUGCAGGUACCGCAUGAAUAAGGACCGGCUAAUUCCGUG
rnacentral:rRNA from 1 species